rnacentral:lncRNA from 1 species
UCACAAGAGGAAUUUCAAUUUCAGAGAUGAUAGCUGAACACAUUUAGUUAAACAUUGUCAGUUCAACUUUAAACCAAUUUAGUUCUUGAUUACAAAUCUUUUGCCCUAAUUAUUUUUAAGAAGUGGACCAUUAUUAAAAAGGGUCAAUUUGCUGAAUAACCAACUUUGGCAUCAAAAUUAAGUGAGUAGCAUUGAUUUUGACGUAAUGUAAUAUCUAUCAUUUAUGCCAAUUGUUAUCCGGUUCUGCCCCUUCUUCCAUUAAUCAUCCGGUAAUAUUGUAUUGCUAGAUAUGACUUGGUCAAAAUAACGUAGGGUAAAGAUUAAAUUAAAUACUACUUUAUUUGAUAGAAACACAUGCAGCCACGUACCAAUUUAAUCCACCCAAAAUUUUCUUAUUGCUGGUCAAUAAUGAAUCACUAUUAUUUACAAACACAUCACGUAAAAGAACUCAUGUCACAAAUUUACUUAUAACAUAUUUAUUUACUAUAUGAAGUAGAAUGAGCGGAUAGAAACAUAAUUUAAAAAAAAAAAUAAAAAGUGUAUAAACCCUAAACCCAAAAAAACAUAAAUUUCCAAAUACUAAAUCCUAAACUCUAAUCACUAAACCCUAACUCAAAUAUAAA